AACUCAAUAUGAGGCGACGGUGUGCAGGAACCCGGUGUGAUUCCGGGACGGUCCCGCCACUGUGACCGAGGAGUCUUCCUCCGCUCGGAGAACCACUGCCCGCUCAUCGCGGGUGGGAAGGUCCGGGGGAAGGCGGUGAUCCGGGAGUCAGGACACUGACCCGUCGUCCUCCCAUAUCC
rnacentral:ncRNA from 2 species